CCUGGAACUCGCCAUUCCAAGUUUCUGAAGUUUCUCUCUUCUCUGCCCACCCAGCACCUAUCUCUCUGUCCUUGCAGGUGUUUUCGGAAGGGAGACACACAUAUUUGUAAACUUAGAUAUAUAUAGAGAUAUAUCUCGUCUGUUUGGUGAGUUAGAAAAUGUGGAGGCUCAAGGUUGCAGAUGGAGGCAAUGAUCCCUACAUCUACACCACCAACAACUUCGUGGGAAGACAUAUGGGAGUUUGAUCCUGACUAUGGAACCACAAAAGAGCGAGCUGAGGUCGAAGCAGCUCGUGAAAAUUUCUGGAAAAACCGGCUUCAGGUUAAGCCCAGCAACGACCUCCUUUGGCGGAUGCAGGCUUGCACGCGAACUUGAUAAAUUGGGAAAAGAAACAUGUAUUGAAACCACUUGACUUCAUCAAACAAGGUGACUAUAGUGGGCCACCAUAUGACGUUCACCUCCCACCAAAUGAGGUAAGGAUAUCAUAAAGUAAAAAAGAAAAAGAAAACAGAAAAGAUAUAUUGGGGAUACUACUAUUGGGUGAUUUUGGGCCUUCUCACCCCAAAAAUUAGCUUAAAGGGUGAGAUUUUCAUGCACACUGAUAAAGAGUCACCCAAUUCCUUCUAUAAAAGAUAUGGGAAAACCCAACAAUAUUCUCCUCAUACACACCAGAUUGUCGGAUAAUGAGAGGUGAAACCAAUUCCAAAACUGAGCAUUGGUACUAUAUUGAACAACUAAUUUCUUAAAAAGUUAAGUUUGUAGGAUUUGAACCCAAAAUAUAUAUUAUGUGAUUUAACAAUUGCUAACUCUAUCUUGAUUCUCUU